rnacentral:rRNA from 1 species
AUGUGUCUACCAAAGGAAAGAGGUGGUAUGGGUUUUUGUGAUGUGCACAGUUUUAAUUUGGCUAUGCUAGCCAAACAAUGUUGGAUAUUGAUUGAAAAUUAUGAUUCCUUGUGGGCAAGGGUAUUGAGAGAAAGAUACUACCCAACAGGAGAUAUUUUGAACUAUGAACUGAAGAAGGGGUCAUCAUAUGUUUGGCAAAGUAUAUGGGCGGGGAUACAAACCUUCAAGAAAGGUUACAUUCGGAGAGUGGGUAAUGGAGCCAAGAUAAAUAUUUGGGAUGAUUGUUGGAUACCGAGCAGUGCUUCUAAGAAGAUUGUGACUGCACGUGGAAAUCAAGUUCUAUCACGAGUCAGUGAGCUCAUUGACCCAGUAUCUGAUGAAUGGGACGAGCAAUUGAUCUGAGACAAUUUUUAGCAUAUUGAUGCUGAACGUAUCCUCCAUAUACCUAUUUUUUAUAAUGAUAACGAGGACUACGUUGCAUGGCAUCUAACAAAGAACGGUAUAUUUUCUGUAUGA